CCUACGGGGGGCAGCAGUGGGGAAUUUUCCGCAAUGGGCGAAAGCCUGACGGAGCAAUGCCGCGUGGAGGUAGAAGGCCCACGGGUCGUGAACUUCUUUUCCCGGAGAAGAAGCAAUGACGGUAUCUGGGGAAUAAGCCCCGGCUAACUUCGUGCCAGCAGCCGCGGUAAUACGAAGGGGGCUAGCGUUGUUCGGAAUUACUGGGCGUAAAGCGCGCGUAGGCGGAUAGAUAAGUCAGAGGUGAAAUCCCGGGGCUCAACCCCGGAAUUGCCUUUGAUACUGUUUAUCUUGAGUGCAGAAGAGGUAAGUGGAAUUCCAAGUGUAGAGGUGAAAUUCGUAGAUAUUCGGAGGAACACCAGUGGCGAAGGCGGCUUACUGGUCUGCAACUGACGCUGAGGCGCGAAAGCGUGGGGAGCAAACAGGAUUAGAUACCCCCGUAGUC
rnacentral:rRNA from 1 species